UAUUACCUGAAACAAUGAAAGCCCUACCUCUCUUCCAUCCUUACGGCUCCUUGACCGCGCCAGUGUGAAUCAGAUUUGUAAACAUUAA
rnacentral:sRNA from 18 species